rnacentral:rRNA from 1 species
UGGGGAAUUUUGGACAAUGGGCGAAAGCCUGAUCCAGCAAUGCCGCGUGUGUGAAGAAGGCCUUCGGGUUGUAAAGCACUUUUGUCCGGAAAGAAAUCCUCUGGGUUAAUACCUCGGGGGGAUGACGGUACCGGAAGAAUAAGCACCGGCUAACUACGUGCCAGCAGCCGCGGUAAUACGUAGGGUGCAAGCGUUAAUCGGAAUUACUGGGCGUAAAGCGUGCGCAGGCGGUUUUGUAAGACGGAUGUGAAAUCCCCGGGCUUAACCUGGGAACUGCAUUCGUGACUGCAAGGCUAGAGUAUGGCAGAGGGGGGUAGAAUUCCACGUGUAGCAGUGAAAUGCGUAGAGAUGUGGAGGAAUACCGAUGGCGAAGGCAGCCCCCUGGGCCAAUACUGACGCUCAUGCACGAAAGCGUGGGGGAGCAAACAGGAUUAGAUACCCUGGUAGUCCACGCCCUAAACGAUGUCAACUAGUUGUUGGGGAUUCAUUUCCUUAGUAACGUAGCUAACGCGUGAAGUUGACCGCCUGGGGGAGUACGGUCGCAAGAUUAAAACUUAAAUGAAUUGACGGGGUCAUAGCUGUUUCCU